CGGCAAAGGGAGAACUCUGACCGAGCAACGCCGCGUGAACGAUGAAGUAUUUCGGUACGUAAAGUUCUUUUAUUAGGGAAGAAUAAAUGAUGGAAAAAUCAUUCUGACGGUACCUAAUGAAUAAGCCCCGGCUAACUAUGUGCCAGCAGCCGCGGUAAUACAUAGGGGGCAAGCGUUAUCCGGAAUUAUUGGGCGUAAAGGGUGCGUAGGCGGUUAAAUAAGUUUAUGGUCUAAGUGCAAUGCUCAACAUUGUGAUGCUAUAAAAACUGUUUAGCUAGAGUAAGAUAGAGGCAAGUGGAAUUCCAUGUGUAGUGGUAAAAUGCGUAAAUAUAUGGAGGAACACCAGUAGCGAAGGCGGCUUGCUGGGUCUUUACUGACGCUGAGGCACGAAAGCGUGGGGAGCAAACAGGAUUAGAUACCCUGGUAGUCCACGCCGUAAACGAUGAGUACUAAACGUUGGGUAAAACCAGUGUUGAAGUUAACACAUUAAGUACUCCGCCUGAGUAGUACGUACGCAAGUAUGAAACUUAAAGGAAUUGACGGGACUCCGCACAAGCGGUGGAUCAUGUUGUUUAAUUCGAAGGUACCCGAAAAACCUCACCAGGUCUUGACAUGCUUCUGCAAAGCUGUAGAAACACAGUGGAGGUUAUCAGUUGCACAGGUGGUGCAUGGUUGUCGUCAGCUCGUGUCGUGAGAUGUUGGGUUAAGUCCCGCAACGAGCGCAACCCUUAUUGUUAGUUACCAGCACGUAAUGGUGGGGACUUUAGCAAGACUGCCAGUGAUGAAUUGGAGGAAGGUGGGGACGACGUCAAAUCAUCAUGCCCCUUAUGACCUGGGCUACAAACGUGAUACAAUGGCUGUUACAAAGAGUAGUUGAA
rnacentral:rRNA from 1 species